GCUAGGCAUGGUGCUCUGCAGCUAUGAAAAAUAAUCCAGCUCAAAUCCAUGUCCGGAAGGCAGAGUUCUCAAAUUUCAGAUUUUUCCAUGAGAUCGGCACCAGCAGCCCCCGAUGAGGCGACCGUCAGUGCGGCUUAACGGCCUGGGUAAGCACCAUAAUUGGUACCGAUGUCCUCUAAGGUGUCCAACCUAAGUUCCCACAUGUCGUGCCUGUCUUACCCAUACCAACGAGGACCCC
rnacentral:lncRNA from 1 species